UUUACACAUGAUCAGACCUAUAAUGUGCAAUGAACAUUUUUCUGAGAACAGAAUCCAUAGUUUUCAUCAAAACUCUCAAGGGAAGCCACAUCUCACAGAAGUUCAAAAUCACUGGUUGCACUCCGAAAACAGAGAUAGAACCCUCCUCCUGGGGGGUCUCUGUGAGUCCUCAUCCUUCAGCCUGGCUGAUUGGCAAGACUAUUAGUAAAAAGGGCCUGGAAGCAGGGUUGCUUGGGCAUCAAGGAAGGAGAGCUACUCUCCUCAUUGGCUGGCUGAAGUCUCCUGUAUCCAUGUGGAAAGUUAGGGGUUGUAAGCUAACUGUCUCCUAGUUUUCUGAAAAAUAGGAGUUAAACGAUUAGAAAGCUCUCUAAACUGCUAUAUUUUGUGCCAGAUGAGUGGACUACUCUGGUAUCACCUCAGAGGUGAGAGGCAGGUUUGCUAGGUGUGUGGUGAUGGGGGGUAGGGGUGCAGAGCUCUCUUCAUGCUGCCCUCACUUGAAUACAUGGUGCAUAGUUGGUACUCAGCCACUGUUAUAUUUUGAUAUUAAGGAGUUGUUUCCUUCUGUAGACAUUGAAUCUAUGCUCCUUGGUCCAUUUUGUAAAAUUUCCCAAAGGCCAGUGGCCUCUGGAGCCUUGGCCAUAUCCCCAACUGCACUUAUUUACUCCUUACUCUUUACCCUCAAAAUCCUGAAACAUCUCGGAAAGGCAAAUUAGGGCCUGUGGGAUUCUCUGAUGCUUCUUGGAAUAUAAUUCCAUCAUUAAGGCUGAGCGCCAAUUCUGGCCAGUCGUGGUGCUGUCUCCUGCUUUUUCGGUGCACUUUGUCUUUGUUGCUCCUCUUGUUCGUGUUAGAAAAUGGCAUCUACCUUCCUUCCUAAGAAUUUUUUGCUUCUUCUCAAACCCGAGGUCCAUGGACUCAACCCGGCUUACCAAUUAGCAUAAAAUACCACAAAAUUUCCUAAGACUUGCAUAUGGCUGUCAUCCUACCUGAAUCAGGCAGACAUCCUCUGAGCUCAGAGUCAGCUCACAAGUGGGAAUAUGGGGUGACAGUAGCUGAGCAGGGUGGUUGCCUGGCUUUCCCAAGAGCAGAUCCUGAUCCUCUUAGGGUGACUUGGCUGAUAUAAUUCUUCACAGAAUUUGCUUUAGGAACCUGUGUCAGAGUGUUCUCUAGACAUAAAACAGUAAAGUCUCCAAGACAUAGGCCUCUGACUCGGAGCUGUCAUACCAUACAAGGCACCUUAUCCACCUAAGAAUAUGGGCACAUCCAUCAUCACUACCACUGUGGGGUCAGCAGGGGUUGUCUCCCAGAAGAGAACAGAAUAGAGGGGUCUCAUGGAGAUGAUUAAAGCCUACACAGGGUGACAGAAUCCUCUUUAUGCAGGAGAAAUGAGGUCUUGGGAGGAGCUCCUGUGCCACAUCUACUCUAUGAAAGAUGCAUCCAAGGACUGGAGAUGCUGUCUACUGAAGCAGUCCCUCCUUCUGAUUCCUGUCUGAGGCCAGCAAAAUUCCUUUUAUUCCUUCCGUCUUGGUUUACCUCCUCCUCUCCUACAUCCUGCUCCAUUUAGCCCAUUUAUCUUCAGCUGGCUCUUGAUAACUAUGACUUGAGUUAGCUCUUGAUCGCAGGGCUCUAGAGAUGAUGGACAAUGAAGUACAACUACCUUUUGGUAUUUAUUUACCUACUCCUGAACCCUGACUUACACAGGGAAUUGUGAGGAAGCAGACAGGCCUCCAAGGCCAUCUUAUCUCACAAUCUGAUCCCUAGCAGAAUGAGCCACCCCUCACUUCAGACUGACUGACUUUUUUUUUUUUAACCUUUAUUAAUGGUGUCUUGGGUUGUAAGAAGUUUUUUUAUUUUGAUGUCAUCAAAAUGUGUUAUUCCUCUCCUUUAUGGCUUGUUAUUUUAUGGCUUUUAAAGAAGGCUUCCCUAUCUAUAAAUAAUAAUCAUAUUUCUAUUUUCUUGUGUUUCUUUUAGGGUUGUAUUUGUGUUGGUUCUUUAACCCAUCUUGAAUUUAUUUCAUAAUAAAUGGUGUGGAUUAGGAAUCUAAUUUUUUUCCCCAGACAGUUGCAUGCUGCCCGGCAUUAUUUAUUCUGUAGACCAUCCUCUUCCCCAGUGUCUUGAAACACUACCCUUCUCAUAUUCAAAAUUCUCAUAAAGGCAGGCGCUGUGGCACACACCUGUAAUUCCAGCAGCUCAGGUGAUUAAGGCAAGAGGUUCUGAAGUUCAAAGACAGCCUCAGCUAUUUAGUGAGACCUUAAGCAACUCAGCAAGUCUCUGUCUCUAAAUAAAAUAUAAAAAAGGGGCUGGGAUGUGGCUCAGUGUUUAAGUAUCCCUGAGUUCAAUCCCCCGUACCAAAAAAGAAAAACAAACAAACACUAAAACCAAACACCUCUCAUAUAUUCAGUACUGUUUCUUGAUUCUGUUUUUUUUUUAACUUUUUUUUAUAUUCUUGAACCCAUAUCACACCAUUUUCAUUGUUGUAGCUUUUGGAUGCUAUUUCAUACAAAGCUUCAUUGUUUCCACCCCCUACAAAUCAUUUUUCUGUCCUUCCAUAUUUUUUCAUUCCAGAUCCACUUUCUAAUCAGCUUAUCAAAUUUCAUUUAGCAUGUCUUAUUGGAAUUUUGGUUGGGAUUUUAUUGAUUAUAUUGAUAUUGAGACUUUUCAUCCAGAAACAGAAUGUCUCAGCUGUAUUCUUAAAGGCACCCUCAGGGGAGACAUUCUCUAUUCUCCUGACUCUGGAGUCCCUCAGGAGUGGGCUGGUGCCCUGAACCACCAGAUCCUUGUAUUUCUCUGUCCUAUAAUCAGAGCUUACUCAUUCCCUCAUCCUACCUAGAGAUAGAUUAAACAGUUGGGCAUUUGCUUUUGCUUAGGAAUUCUGAGCUUUAUCUUUCCAAGACCCAAAAGAACUCCAGAGAGAUUGUUCUGUCUCUCUUCUCCCCUGCUCUUACAGCUCAGUCUCAAUCUCCCUUCUCAUCUUGCUCCUUUAGAAAUUCUAAUAUUUCAGAUCUGGAAUAGGUCAAUCUAGCAUUUCCUUCAAUCUAGACUUCCCUGAGAAUCUGGUUGACCUCAACAUAACCCUUCAUUCAGAUCUUCUCUCUUCAUAUUAUUCUGUAUCAUUUCUGAGCUCUAUAUGAGCUGAUAUCUUGGAAAAAGAAGAGUGCUCACCAAGUAUUUUGGGGGAAUAGCAGUGUUGGUGAUUCUAUGCCAACUGCCAAUAAGCAAAAAGAACUCAUGACCCCAGAUUUGUCAAUCCUAGCCUAUGACUCUGCUUACCAGCCUGAACUCCACAAAGCAUCUAGGAAUUCCUAGCCUUUUUUUUUUUCCUGUUCAGUAUUGGGGACAGAACCCAGUGUCUUACGCAUGCUAAGCAAGUGUUCUACCACUGAGCUACAUCUGCAGCCCCUAGCUAUUAUUGAUCCCCAACUUUGCUAGGUACACCGAUGUCAGAGAUAGGCUUUUACAUCAGACUGAAUGACAAAGGCCUAGGGGUGAAGCAAGAAGAACCUAGCCCAUCUGCUCAAAUCUCUUUCUGGACUAGCAGCAUCCAUUGUUUUCAUUGCCAGUAUGAAAGUCAAAAGAGCCAGAACUAAAGUUGCAUAGGCUCUCAGACCAGGUGUGGCAGCCAGGUAGUAGGAAAAAGGAGCCCAACAUAGAGUUGAGGUCCCUCAGAAAAGCUGAAUGUGUUCAGGCCACGUACAGUAGCAAUGCAAAGACAUAGGCAGUUUGCCCAAAGCCUUUUGGUUACAUACCUUGGCACUCAGGCCACAGAGUCCUGACAUCCAUACAUGUUUUGCCCAGCUUUUUUUUGCAUUUAUUUACCUCUCCCUGCACCACUAAAUAUUCCACCUGGCCUUAAUAGAUCUUCUUCACCUAAUACUUAUCCAGGGGAUAAUAUUUCAUGGAAGGACUAUGGAAUUUAUGAGAGUAAAUGGUAAGUUACUCUAACUUAAGACUAUUACAGAAAUGAUUCCUAGACAUUUGGAUUUCAAAGGACAGAAUGAACUACUCAGCAAAGUGAACCAAUUUCAGGGACAAGGAAUCUGCUACAGUGGCUGAAAAUUCUAGUAAUACAAACAGAGCUACAUCAUUUGAUUCUUUGAGAUCUCCCUUCCAAAGAAAACAUGGUGCAAAAAUUAUUCUCCCCAGCCAGUCCCCACCCCACCCUCAAGUCGCUCAAGACCCAGCCAGCCACCCAGUCUUACAUGUCUAAAUCUGAAAUUAAAGUCCCAGGCAGGGAGAGGGAUUGUCACAAGUAAUUGCAACAUCCCACAAGAAUUUGGGAGUUAAAGGGAGCCAAACCUGGGCCUUUUCCAAAGCUUGCACGUCUGAGCUUUUUGAGAACCACAUUUGAUCCUUCCAAAAUAUUAGAUGUAAAUGUUUUGUCUUGUGCCUGCUUGACAGUUCUAGAGGACUCUGCAUGGCUCCUGCUAACCCAUCAUAGUGACAGGUGCAUGUUUCCCUGGGAGAGGACAGAGUGAGAAACUGCCUGCCUUACACCACAGUUGGGCUUCAUCCUGAGCCAUGCUUUGGACACUGCUCAGAAGAGGAUGGGGCUCUGAGAGGGGACGGGUCCCACAUGGCUGCAGAGAUGGACCUGGAUAAAAGAAGGGGCACAGGCAUCCUGCCUCAGCUUUAUGUCCUUCUUCAGCAAUUUAUACACUCAUUUACUCUACCCUUACCCAGCCCUUACCUCAUUUUAUUUCUACAGGUCAUUUUCAUAGACACUAUUUUGAGAUGAUGUUCUUCCUUUUUAUAUAUAGAAAAAAAAGCCAUCUUAAAACCAACUGCAGUGGCAAUGCCUGUAAGCCCAAUGACUCAGAAGGCUGAAGCAGGAGGACCCCAAGUUCAAGGCCUGCCUGGGCAACUUAGACCCUAUCUCACUAAUAAAAAUAAAAAAGUAAAGGGCUGGUGAUAUAGCUCAGUGUAGAACACUUGCCUAGCCUAUGCAAGACCCUGGGUGCAAUCCCUAGUAGCAAGGAAAAACUAAACCAUCUUUAAAAAUAAACAAAAACACAGUAGCUAUUCUGAGUAUGUCUCAAGAUAGCUGAGCAUGAUAAGGGGUAUAUAUCAUAAUUGUUGGUAGUUAUGAGCUACAUUCUAUCAUCAUCAUCAAAAUCAUAGAAUAUCAACCAUUUAUUGAGCUCUUACUUUGUAUAAGGAAGUGGGAAGCAUUUUACAGUUUUUGUAAAUCUUCCCAGUCCCCUUUCAAAACCAAUAUUCCUAUCUCUUCAUCUCACAGAGAAGGGACCAAGCCUGGCGAAGUUAAGUAGCCUGCACCAGGUCUUGAGUUGGUCAGAGGGUCUAGGACAUUGCCAUGGCUUUUUUUUCUUCCUGAAAGAGCCGAAAGCAAGGCACCUUCUGCCAGCUCCAAGAGUCCAAAACUACCAGGCACAGUUGGAAGGAGCAUUCACACCAGGUCUUUUCUGUGGCUCUCAGGCCUCCCCCAGCCAACCCAGCACCAUCAGGGAGUGAUUCCUCAGGGAUGAGGUCGGAGGCCAGGUUCUUAGACAACCCUAAUGCUGUCACAGACAUGUAGUACCUCCGGGGCAUCUAAUCCCCGUUUCUCUCCUCCAAUUCUGCAGGGCUUCAGGAGCAAGGCUUUCUCUGAGAGGCAGGAUUAUUCGUUUUCAACAUCAUUCUGACCCUAGCUUCAAAGAACUUGAAGAAAGCUAGAGAAGACCACAGUAGAUUUUCUCCUUGGAUAACAAGAGUCUGAUUAACCCUCAGCCCAAUUUCUUUUCAGUUCAACCUAAUGAAUCUCUGUUGCCUUUUCAGAUUUACAUGACAGGUUUAUUUCAUUAUCCAGAGGUAAGUCAAAGUACAUCUUGUCCUCAAAGUCAAUUAAUAUUUACUGAGCCACCACUGCCAGGCAUGGUUGAAAGGGGUGUUCACAUUCCCUUUCCUGUGAGUCUCAGGCCUUCCCCCAGAUGACCCAGAAUCAUCAGGAUAUGAUGCUUUAAGGAUGGAGUUGAAGUGGAGAUGAGUGACACCAAACCUGAUCCAUGUUCUCUGUAUCGGCUUAGGGAACAGUAUUCAACCCCUUGUGCCUGUCUUGGGCUGGGAGCCAGAGCCAGCCAAGGAAUCUGGCUGUUGGGCUCUUAGCUCCUUUAAGGAACAGAUCAGGUCCUGAGAACCUAGCUUGCUUGACCACAGUGUCUGACACAAAGUAGAAACUUAUAAACUGAUGGCUAUGUUUACAACUUUUAAAAAGGAGUGGCAGAGAAAGGUGGCUGAGAGAUCAAGUUUCCCUCUGGGGCCUGUUCUGAGAGAGAGGGGGAUAAUGGAAGCAGAUGCUACAGGUGUCACAAGCCUUUAGGAGCACCCACAUAAACAGCAUAUAUGAAAAAAUGAGACAAGUGUCUCCCUACGUUCACCUAGGCCCCUUAUGGAAGAGGAAGAAGGGAGUGGCUGACUCUGGAGGAAUUCAACCAAAGCAAGUGUAAAUGGAUUCUCAUUUGGCUGUAGUUUGACUGAUAAGGAAAGAAAACCUGACCUGGGCAAGGAGCAUGGGCCUGUGUGGUCCCCUCCUAGGCCAGAGCGCUUUCCCUCCUUCCCUCGCACCUGUUCCUACACACACACAUCCCGGAAGGCCACCCCACUCCUACCCAGAAGACUAUUGACUCUGCCUCCUUUUCCUGGAGGUGUUUCCUAGGGCUUCAGCCUGAGAACCCACUCUGAGUUUGUUCCAUCUGUACAAUACCAGAGGCUGUGUGGGAAGGGAUCUCCCCAAUUACCUUAAAUGACUUUGAUAGGGAAAAUGGAAUGAGGAAUGGGGCAGAAACUGACAGCCAGCCAGCUCCUGCCAGCCCUGGUGGACCUGAGAUUCAGAGGCCCUGCGCCCCCUACUGGUCCCUCUUUUGUCUUCCUCUCCCGGAGGCUUCCGGAGCCUGCCUUCUCACCCCAGAGACCUGCUUCACUCUUUUUAAUCCUUUGCCUUUGGAACUAGCCUGGAGCUGCUCCCUCCUCAAACCAUGACCUAGGCUUCCUCCUUCCUGACAAAAACCUAACCCAGUCCUUUGAAGAAGCUGGGGACACCUGCACUGGCAUUGCUUAGGUAUCAGUGCCACCUGAGGAAAACUUGACCUGGGCAAGGAGCAUGGGCCUGUGUGGUCCCCUCCUAGGCCAGAAGCCCUUUCCCUCCUUCCCUGGCACCUGUUCCUGCACACACAGCCUCACUUCCUUUCCCCACCUCAGCCUGCACUCAGAUCUGCCAGGUCUGUGCUGCUGCUGCCUUCCAGAGCAGCUUCCAACCUCCAGUUCUUCCUCUUCCCCUCUCUCCCACUGAAGAAACAUACCCUUACAGGGCCCCUGGGGUCCACCAGCCUUGCCCUCCCACACCAGCCUCCACUGCACUCCAGACUUGGCCAAGAAUACUCUCCUUUUCUCUUUCCAAAUCUUGUCCACUUAGCAAGUUCUGAUAGCUCCAGUGUUUACAACCCAUCCCAUCCCAUCCCCAGUGUGCCCUCCCCUGAGGCUCCUGCUGCCAGGCCACUAGCUGUGCCCAUCAUCUCCUGAGUGUGUUUUUCUUCUGAGAUUGAAACACCCAGAGGUCAAGAUCUUUACCUUCCAUAAGGCCCGGGGCAGUGCCAGACUCCUCGUGAGCACUAAAGGGACCAUUUUGAAUGCUGUUCUUCUCCCAAAGAAACCUCCUGGCACCACCUCAGAGCUCUCCCAGGCGUGGCAGGCCUGGGGUGAGGCUGGGUGGGCCAAGGCUGCUAUUGUCAGGUCACUGCGGAAGGAAUGGAGAUAUGGGCAUAUUUUCCAGAAAGGGUGAGAACGGGAACGAGGCUUCUAUUUCCAGGGAGACUUGGUGAGGGGAGGGAGGACCACUCAGAUAUGAGAUCCCCGUGUCAAUCACCACGCUAGUGGAGAAGCUCGCAAGGAUUUGGAGGAUAUGAUGCAGAGGAAACCUCAGAUCUCACAGUCGCUUUGUUUCAUCCACUCCCCCCAUUCCUUCCUAAGCCCGCUUUCCUCUCGGGUUCCCAGCCCCAGGCAGAUUCUUGCGUGACCUCGGGCGGCGCCCAGUGCUGCUGUGGACAGCUCAUUCCGCCGCGGCGGUGUUGCCCAGCUUGUCCCAGCGCCGCCAGGGGGCGAAUGGGGUGUCUGCCGGCUCCUCGGGUGCUGGGCGCGCCCGCACUGCGCUCGAGAGAGGCCGGGCAGAGGGGGACGCUUCCCCGCGCCGCCGCAGCCCCGCCCUCAGGCCAGCUCCGUGGCUCUGCGCGCCCAGGCCUGGGACAGAGAUAUAGCGGUGCCGCGCCCGUACAGGUGGCUGGGCUGCCCGCGAGCCCAGCAGCGCGCAUAGGAUGCUGCCCCCAAGGACUCACCAUUCUCCCUUCCCGCCCCACUGGUCCUCUCGGCCUCUCCGGCUCUGCUCUGGCAGCCGCCCGGCUUUCGGGCAGAUGGUUAAGUAGGCCGCACCCAGGGCGCAGAGAACCGAGGACGCUGGAAUUUAAGGAGGAGCGAAGAAGGAUCAGCCCUGUUUCCCGCUUUUUCCCCAGGCACCUCUGAAGAGGGUGCGCGGCUGCUCUCCAAGUCCUCGGGCUCCGAGCUGGGCCGGGUACGGGGCCUCCGGACAGCACGCGCACACCACACGCUGGGCACCUGUUAGAUCGGGGGCCCUACCUGCUGGGGCCUCAGCUUGGCCUCCUGAUACAGGCACCUGGGCGGCAGUCGUAGGCUAAAGUGACCACAUCUGGCUUCAGGUUGUAAAGGAAAUCAAAAUGAGAAAGAGAGAAAGAAAGUAAGUUUAUUGCAUGUGUGAGCCCCUCUCUGGGUCAGCUCUCCAGAGGACUCUAUUUGGGUAAGCCUCUCAGGCCUGCCAAACACCUGCAUGGCUCAGGACAGAGACCUGCUUCCCAGCCUUAGCAUUGCUGGGGAUCAUUCCACUUGAUAAUAUGCUGUUUCCAUAGAGAAAUACUCUAUUAUUUGAAUCCCAAGUCAACCUUUAUGAAAACUGCCAAAGUGGCUGAUAAACUUUUUUGUGUUUUAAAAAAACAUAAAGAAGUUCUCUGUGUGUCCACACACUAUCCUGUAUCCAUUUUAGGUACUUCUAUCUUUGAAGAAAUGCUUCUCUACCAAAAAUUUAAAAUUUUUUAAAAAUCAGUUUAUGUGUAGUUUAAAAGAGAGUCCUUGAAACAACACCUCUCUGCUUGCCUGCUAGUCAGUCACUAACAUUUAAUUUUGUUUUGGUUUAGUUAAAUUGGGGGGUUUUGCAACCCCUCGAGCUAAAGAUUAAAUUAAUUCUCAAGUGGCAUACAAGCUGUGGUUUCAAAUCCUAACAUUUAGCACAGGGUUGCCUCUCUGUCCAUCCUGGUUCUGAUUCAUAGCUGGCCAGAUAGACACUCAAAUCCUUGCUGGAGUGGGUCCUGGAUGAGUGCACUCCACUGCCCACCGGGAUGUCCACAAGACAGGACCUAAGUGGCUUUCAUGCUCUGAGAUGCCAUUCUGGAUUGGAAACUCCAGACCUCAAAUCUAUUUAGAACUGGGCCCUGAGCUCCAGGAGAUCCUACCUCCUCAGUUCUUCCAGAUGUGGAUGAUGAGCCCCAUAAUUGAUCCCAUGGUCAGAGACGUUGGGGAACUCCAACCCUGAGAAGAGCAUCACCUCCCAGGACACAGUGCUAUUGCUCUGCUGCUAGUGCAGGGGAUCUAUUCCAAGCACAGCACAAGUUCCUACACUGUUCUCAUUGUCCUUCAGUUCCCCAGAUGUGUCUGAGACUUCCUGUCUGUGCAAAGGCAAGGGAUAACCUGAAGGUCAGAGCCCCAUCUGACCUCAAGACUCUCAGGUCUAAAGAGUGGCACUUGUGGGAGCUCUGUACUCAAUCUCCACCCUCAGGAGGCUUCAGUGAUGUGAAUGAUACAGUCCUUGAGACCAUGUCCUCUGGUCCUGCCCUAGAUUUCUACCCCCACACAGCAGCCUACCUGGAAGAGCACCUGCAGUUCCACCCAACUGAGGCCUCACCUUUUUGAGUCAGCACUGCCUUCUGCCUUCUCAGCUCCUCUGGGAACCCCUUUGUUCCCAGGACUACCUAGAGGAGAAGCCAUGUCCUCACUGCCUGAAAGGAGAGAACUCCAAGGUGGCCUGCCUAGAAGUCCCAGGGUCCCUCAACGGGCACACAAAUAUGGUUAUCCAGCUGCAGCUAUAGGCAAUAAGGCAGCCUACAAGCUCCAACAGCAUCUUUCUUCCUUUUCUCUUUACAGAUAUGGACAAGGUCUCCCAGCCUCCCAGCCCACCCUUCCAGAACUGGAGAGAGCAGAGUGUCCUCAGGAAAGUUCUUCUGCUUCUGCCUCCUCACAUCCCAGGGCUGUUUAACUUCAGCGUCUCAAAAACAAGAUUCAUGGGCUGGAGUGGUGGCUCAAUGGUAGAGCGCUUGCCUAGCAUGUGUGAGGCACUGGGUUUGAUCCUCAGCAACACAUAAAAAAAUAAAUAAAUAAAAUAAAGAUA